rnacentral:lncRNA from 10 species
UUAUUGGAUGACAGGCUGCCUCCUAGGGGGCUUCUCUGGGCUUGCCAUGAAAGCACUUCCGGAGGAAAAGCAGAGCUCCAUCAGUCUCUUUUGGAGAGCUGUGAACGUGACCAGACCUAUUAAUUACUUAACUGAGGUGCUGAACUUUGAAAAUGAAAGUUCCGGUGGGGAGUUCUGUCCUUUCCAGCCUGGGGAGCUCUGUCAGGGCUCUCCUGAGCGUCUCUUUCAGCUUAUCAAGCUCGCUCGGGGACCGUCUCUGGGAGAGAGUCUCACUCUGUCACCCAGGCUGGAGUGCAGUGGCAUGAUCUCGGCUCACUGCAACCUCCGCCUCCUGGGUUCAAGUGAUUCUCCUGCCACAGCCCCUUGAGUAGUUGACGUUACAGGCACCCACCACCGCACCCAGAUACUUUUCGUAUUUUUAGUGGAGACGCUGUUUCACCAUGUUGGCCAGUUGGUCUCGAACUCCUGACCUCAAGUGAUCUGCCUGCCUUGGCCUCCCUAUGUGCUGGGUUAUAGGCGUAAGCCACUGUGCCCUGCUUCAUGUCAUUUUUAAAGAGCCCACACAACUCCUGUAGCUGCAUUACGACAACCUCAACGGCAAGACCUCGACGUGAUAUUACUCCACGUGAAAGUCUAAAAGGCGCUGAGCACAGUGCUCUGCCAAUGGUGUGUCUUCCAGCCUCGCUUGCUGAGAGAACAGAUGUGCCGGGGAAGAAAUGGACAAAGCUGGGAAAGGAGUCUAACUUCUUCAAAGCGGUUGGGCACCGGUGAGGCUCUUUUGGUUACAAACCACAGAAAUGGAUUCUGGUUUAUCAGUUUAAUCUCGGUGUAACUAAAAGUGGGAAGUCGCCAUGUAGGAAGUGCCUUUAGCCUUCUGCCAUGAUUGUGAGGCCUCCCCAGCCAUGUGCAACUGCUGGGAAAGUGAGGUGCAGAGGUAUUUUGCAACGUGCCCACAGAACCCCAGCGAGCCCGUGUUGGAGUUACAACUGUGCCUCAGGGAGCAUUCUCAGGCAGCAUUCUCUUAUGCUUCACCGUCUCACAGAUGAUAAGGUUUCAUUCAAGGACUUACAACAGCAACCCGGAGGGAGCAUUCUCAGUGGCUGGUAGAUGCCAUUUGUACUGAGCAGGACAAUUAAGCCCAAUUCUGGAAAAAUUCUGCUUUCUCUAUUCAAUGCAUUUUAUAAAUGUCUUCACUCAGCACAUUUACCCUACUAAUUAUAUUUUGCUUUGUGAUCAUGGUAUGUCAUUUGCAUUCCUUCAGCACACACUGACUGAUGGGGAAGAGAUGUUGGGUGACCCAGGCAAGCCAAACAGGAUUAAAGCCUGCUGUCUCACCAGGUGGAUAAUCCACUUUGAACACUUGAGAGGGGAGUGUUGAGAUCACACCCCUUCCCAUGGGACAUUUUUCUGGGAAAUAAAAUCGGUGACAAACACCACGCUUGAACACUCACAUUGACUCUAGGGUGCAGGCUGAGCUCAUCUGGUGCAGGGGAGUAAUGCAGAGGCGAGGCCUGAGUCAGCGCCAGGCACAGGAAGGGGAUGCAGGAUGCACCACAGCCCAUGCCUCUUAGGAGAAAAUCUGGGCCUUCUCCAUGGCUGUGUCUCUAUUAAUUUGCUAAGGCUGCCCAAAUAAAGCACCACACAUGGGCAGCUUACAUAACAGGAAUUUAUUCUCAGUUCUGGAGGCCGGCAGUCUGAGAUCAAGGUGUCAGCACAGCUGGUUCCUUCUGAGGACUGUGCAGGAGAAUCUGUUCCAGGCCUCUCCCUGAACUUCUGGGGGUCACUGGCCAUAUUUGGCAUUCCUUGGCUUAUAGAAGCAAUACCCCAAUUUCUGCCUUCAUCCGCAUGUGGCAUUCUCCCUGUGUGCGUGUUUCUGUGUCCACAUUUUUCCUUUUUAUAAGGAUACCAGUCAUGUUGGAGGUCUACCCUACUCCUUGAUGACCUUAUCUUAACUAGUUAUAUCUGCAACAAACCUAUUUCCAAAUUAGGUCACAUUCUGAGGUCCUGGGGGUUAGGACUUUAACAUAUGAAUUUUAAGAGGACACAGUCCAACCCAUAAUAGUAACUUUGUCCCUCUCUCUCUUUUGACACAAUAAUGACCCUAUGCAGGGAUAUUUCUAGGUGGCUACUGUCUGUGUGUGUGUGGUAGGGGGACUUCUAGUACUGUUUUGGAUUACUGUUGACAGACAGCAGCCUGAGGCUAGGAAGCACUUUGGGGCCAUGACUUAGAGCAAAGCUAGUAAGUUUUCUCAGGAAUUUGAACCCAGAAUUUCAUCCCCAUGGCACUUUAAUCCAGUACAUUUAAUGGCUCAGAUGACCCUGGCCUUAUCAGCCUGGUGCUCUAAGCAGCUGACCUAACAGUGUGUGCAUGCGUGUAUGCACAUGUGUAUGUUAUGUGCAUAUAUAAGUGCAUACACAUAAUGUUGGACACAGAAAUAUCUCUGAGAACUGUCCCUUUAUCACCCUUCAGAUAAAAUUAUUCUCAGCUUGCUUAGUUGCAGUGUUUCUUACUUUGCAUCUCCUAACACUUUCAUACAUUUCUCCCGAAGUGCAUAGGCAAGGAGCUUCAACGGAAUUCAAUGUCAACCUGGUCAUCUUACCAUGAUUUCUAGGAAAAAAUGUGUGUAAUUGGUUCAUGCCCUCCUUCUGUACAGAUUACAAUUCUCCUUUUUUGGCAUGAAAACCUCCAUCUGUCUUUUGAAAGCACAUGUCACUUAUUUAUUAAAGUCCUCCCCAACUUGUUCAGGUUGAGUUUCACUAGUACCUUUCUGGAGUAUUUUAUACCUAUGUUAUAGCCCCAUAUGUUAUACUUUGGAUGUCUGUUUACCUGUCUGUAAGACUGUCUGCAUAAUUCAUGGGCCUUGUACAAAAUAAGAAUUCAGGGACUCUUGUUACAAGAAACUAUUAAGAAUUUCAAGAUGGGUCAGGCGCGGUGGCUCACGCCUGUAAUCCCAACACUUUGGGAGGCUGAGGCGGGCAGAUCACGAGGUCAGGAGUUCGAGACCAGCCUGGCCAACAUGGCGAAACCCUGUCUCUACUAAAAAUACAAAAAUGAGCUGGGCGUGGUGGUGUCUGCCUGUAAUUCCAGCUACUCAGGAGGCUGAGGCAGGAGAAUCACUUGAACCUGGGAGGUGGAGGUUGCAGUGAGCCAAGAUCGCACGGUUGCACUUCAGCCUGGGAAAUGGAAUGAGACUCCAUCUCAAAAAAAAAAAAAAAAAU